ACUCAAAGGAAUUGACGGGGACCCGCACAAGCGGUGGAGCAUGUGGUUUAAUUCGACGAUAAGCGAGGAACCUUACCAAGAUUUGACAUCUAGCGAAAGCACCAGAAAUGGAGCCGUGCCUUCGGGAACGCUAAGACAGGUGAUGCAUGGUUGUCGUCAGCUCGUGCCGUGAGGUGUACCCUUAAGUGGGGUAACGAGCGCAACCCUUGCACUAUGUUAAUUUUCAUAGUGGACUGCCGGCGAUAAGCCGGAGGAAGGUGGGGAUGACGCCAAAUCAGCAUGUCCUUUAUAUCUUGGGCGACACACGUGCUACAAUGGGGAGCUACAGAGGGACGCCAAACCGCAAGGUGGAGCGAAUCCUAUAAAACUCCCCCCAGUUCAGAUCGAGGGCUGCAACUCGCCCUCGUGAAGUUGGAAUCGCUAGUAAACGCGUAUCAGCCAUGGCGCGUUGAAUACGUUCUCGGGUCUUGUACACACCGCCCGU
rnacentral:rRNA from 1 species